rnacentral:lncRNA from 1 species
CCCCACAGAGGUAGAAAUCACAGUCUCAGAGAGAGGCGGGCCAGAUUCCAGAUUAGAUAUGUGUCCAUGUAACACGUGAGCCUAGCCAUUCUUAUAUUUAGAUAGCAACCACACAUAAAGUCUACACAGACAAAGGAUAAGAUGGACAAGAUGUUCUUGCUGGGCCUUUCUCUAUUCUGCCUUUUGCGAGGUGGGGAGCCAAAGUUCCGUAGAAAGGGAAUGGAAGUUGUGUGUGCUACCUGUGAUAAAUUUAGAAAAGGUACCUGUUCGCUAAAUGAAGGCACCUGUGUUACGAAGGCAAAGAAUGGAUGCAGAAGCCAGUCUUUCUAUUCAUACUCUGACGAUAUUAAAGGGUGGGCCUAUACUCAUUCUAAACUGGAAUGUGUUGACAAAUGCGGAGAGCCUAUAGUCUUCCUGGCUUGGUUUCGUUUGGUGAACAUUUGCUGUUCAGAUAAAAACCUAUGCAAUAUAGGAUAUGCGCUGGCAUGA